rnacentral:rRNA from 1 species
CCUACGGGAGGCAGCAGUGAGGAAUAUUGAGCAAUGGGCGCAAGCCUGACUCAGCAACGCCGCGUGGAUGAAGACGGCCUUCGGGUUGUAAAAUCCUUUUCUGCGGGACGAUGAUGACGGUACCGCAGGAACAAGUUCCGGCUAACUACGUGCCAGCAGCCGCGGUAAAACGUAGGGGACGAGCGUUAUCCGGAUUUACUGGGCGUAAAGCGCCCGUAGGCGGCCUGUCAAGUUGGCUGUGAAAGCUCCCGGCUUAACUGGGAGAGGUCAGUCAAAACUGACAGGCUGGAGGCUGAAAUAGGCGAGCGGAAUUCCCGGUGUAGUGGUGGAAUGCGUAGAGAUCGGGAGGAACACCAGUGGCGAAAGCGGCUCGCUGGUUCAGCCCUGACGCUGAGGGGCGAAAGCGUGGGGAGCGAACGGGAUUAGAUACCCCAGUAGUC